rnacentral:rRNA from 1 species
AUUGAACGCUGGCGGCAGGCUUACCACAUGCAAGUCGAGCGAGCGGCGGACGGGUGAGUAAUGUCUGGGAAACUGCCCGAUGGAGGGGGAUAACUACUGGAAACGGUAGCUAAUACCGCAUACUCUCAGAUUUGCCCAGAUGGGAUUAGCUAGUGGGUUGGGUAAAGGCUAACCUAGGCUACGAUCCCUAGCUGGUCUGAGAGGAUGACCAGCCACACUGGAACUGAGACACGGACCAGACGCCUACGGGAGGCAGCAGUGGGGAAUAUUGCACAAUGGGCGCAAGCCUGAUGCAGCCAUGCCGCGUGUAUGAAGAAGGCCUUCGGGUUGUAAAGUACUUUCAGCGGGGAGGCGUUACCCGCAGAAGAAGCACCGGCUAACUCCGUGCCAGCAGCCGCGGUAAUUC